AGAGUUUGAUCAUGGCUCAGAUUGAACGCUGGCGGCAGGCCUAACACAUGCAAGUCGAGCGGUAGCACAGAGAGCUUGCUCUCGGGUGACGAGCGGCGGACGGGUGAGUAAUGUCUGGGAAACUGCCUGAUGGAGGGGGAUAACUACUGGAAACGGUAGCUAAUACCGCAUAAUGUCGCAAGACCAAAGUGGGGGACCUUCGGGCCUCAUGCCAUCAGAUGUGCCCAGAUGGGAUUAGCUAGUAGGUGGGGUAACGGCUCACCUAGGCGACGAUCCCUAGCUGGUCUGAGAGGAUGACCAGCCACACUGGAACUGAGACACGGUCCAGACUCCUACGGGAGGCAGCAGUGGGGAAUAUUGCACAAUGGGCGCAAGCCUGAUGCAGCCAUGCCGCGUGUGUGAAGAAGGCCUUCGGGUUGUAAAGCACUUUCAGCGGGGAGGAAGGCGUUAAGGUUAAUAACCUUAGCGAUUGACGUUACCCGCAGAAGAAGCACCGGCUAACUCCGUGCCAGCAGCCGCGGUAAUACGGAGGGUGCAAGCGUUAAUCGGAAUUACUGGGCGUAAAGCGCACGCAGGCGGUCUGUCAAGUCGGAUGUGAAAUCCCCGGGCUCAACCUGGGAACUGCAUUCGAAACUGGCAGGCUAGAGUCUUGUAGAGGGGGGUAGAAUUCCAGGUGUAGCGGUGAAAUGCGUAGAGAUCUGGAGGAAUACCGGUGGCGAAGGCGGCCCCCUGGACAAAGACUGACGCUCAGGUGCGAAAGCGUGGGGAGCAAACAGGAUUAGAUACCCUGGUAGUCCACGCCGUAAACGAUGUCGAUUUGGAGGUUGUGCCCUUGAGGCGUGGCUUCCGGAGCUAACGCGUUAAAUCGACCGCCUGGGGAGUACGGCCGCAAGGUUAAAACUCAAAUGAAUUGACGGGGGCCCGCACAAGCGGUGGAGCAUGUGGUUUAAUUCGAUGCAACGCGAAGAACCUUACCUGGUCUUGACAUCCACAGAACUUACCAGAGAUGCAUUGGUGCCUUCGGGAACUGUGAGACAGGUGCUGCAUGGCUGUCGUCAGCUCGUGUUGUGAAAUGUUGGGUUAAGUCCCGCAACGAGCGCAACCCUUAUCCUUUGUUGCCAGCGGUCCGGCCGGGAACUCAAAGGAGACUGCCAGUGAUAAACUGGAGGAAGGUGGGGAUGACGUCAAGUCAUCAUGGCCCUUACGACCAGGGCUACACACGUGCUACAAUGGCAUAUACAAAGAGAAGCGACCUCGCGAGAGCAAGCGGACCUCAUAAAGUAUGUCGUAGUCCGGAUUGGAGUCUGCAACUCGACUCCAUGAAGUCGGAAUCGCUAGUAAUCGUAGAUCAGAAUGCUACGGUGAAUACGUUCCCGGGCCUUGUACACACCGCCCGUCACACCAUGGGAGUGGGUUGCAAAAGAAGUAGGUAGCUUAACCUUCGGGAGGGCGCUUACCACUUUGUGAUUCAUGACUGGGGUGAAGUCGUAACAAGGUAACCGUAGGGGAACCUGCGGUUGGAUCACCU
rnacentral:rRNA from 1 species